rnacentral:rRNA from 1 species
UUAGAGUUUGAUCCUGNCUCAGGAUGAACGCUAGCUACAGGCUUAACACAUGCAAGUCGAGGGGCAGCGGGAUUGAAGCUUGCUUCAAUUGCCGGCGACCGGCGCACGGGUGAGUAACGCGUAUCCAACCUUCCGCUUACUCGGGGAUAGCCUUUCGAAAGAAAGAUUAAUACCCGAUGGUAUCUUAAGCACGCAUGAGAUUAAGAUUAAAGAUUUAUCGGUAAGCGAUGGGGAUGCGUUCCAUUAGGCAGUUGGCGGGGUAACGGCCCACCAAACCUACGAUGGAUAGGGGUUCUGAGAGGAAGGUCCCCCACAUUGGAACUGAGACACGGUCCAAACUCCUACGGGAGGCAGCAGUGAGGAAUAUUGGUCAAUGGGCGAGAGCCUGAACCAGCCAAGUAGCGUGAAGGAUGACGGCCCUACGGGUUGUAAACUUCUUUUGUGCGGGAAUAAAGGAACCUACGUGUAGGUUUUUGCAUGUACCGUAACGAAUAAGCAUCGGCUAACUCCGUGCCAGCAGCCGCGGUAAUACGGAGGAUGCGAGCGUUAUCCGGAUUUAUUGGGUUUAAAGGGAGCGUAGACGGGUUUUUAAGUCAGCUGUGAAAGUUUGGGGCUCAACCUUAAAAUUGCAGUUGAAACUGGAGACCUUGAGUACGGUUGAGGCAGGCGGAAUUCGUGGUGUAGCGGUGAAAUGCUUAGAUAUCACGAAGAACCCCGAUUGCGAAGGCAGCCUGCUAAGCCGCCACUGACGUUGAGGCUCGAAAGUGCGGGUAUCAAACAGG